rnacentral:lncRNA from 1 species
CAACACCCUAACCUUUUCGGAAUUACCUCUGUACCUGCCUGCAGUCAUCCUGCUUACAAACAAACAGAAAACAAAGCACAAAUAUUAGAUCAAAGCUCAAGUUUCCUUUGGCCAUCACCACUCAUACCUGAAGUCUACAAUCUUCGCAGAGGUGGACACUCUCAGAACUUGGGAGGAUAUUUUUCCAGAACAAUUUCUGUGCAUUCAAGCAUCCAAUCUCAAUCUCUCGCUCUCUUCCUCUCUUUCAUGCGCAUUUCUUUUCUAAAUAAAUGUUUGUGUGUCAUCCUGCACUUUGCUUGUUCCAUUCUCAGGAUGUCUUAUGUACAGUCCCCACAUCAGUAUAAAAAGAUGGUCUCAUCCUUUUUUUUUUUUUUUUUUUUNNNNUUUUUUUUUGUCUUUUUGCCAUUUCUAGGGCCGCUUCCGGGGCAUAUGGAAGUUCCCAGGCUAGGUGACCCUAGAAAAGGCAAAAAGACAACAAUAAAUAAAUAAAUAAAUAUGGACAAAUAAAAUAACGGUGUAAAUACCCUGUUCUCAUUAUCUUGUAUCAUUACACAACAAGCCACAAUUAUAAAGUCUGUAAGAACAAGAAUGUAAACCAAUAUGACUAGAAGUAACCAGAUUAAAUGUAAUGUAAGGGAUGAUGUUGUUUUGCUAAACCCAUCCAUCCCUUGUCAUAGGAAUAGAGUGGAGUUGCAUCUUCUGGGAGGGGAAGGGCUAAUGCAAGAAAAUCAGCCAGGAGUCACCCUUAAAGGUAAAUUGCUAGGGAGGCUCUCCGGAAGGAGAGGCAUCCACUCACAGACUGCAGACUCUGGCGCCCCCUACUGUGCCAACUCUGAGGGGAAGGGCCAGUGGAAUUGCUCACACAAUUGACAUGAUUCCUCUCUUCCACCCUCUGCAUUCUCUCUUCACAUUGUCUCCACAGGAUCCACUGGGAACUUUCAUCUAUUCGCCCCACUGGACUGCACCUGCCUUUCCCUAGGGCAAAGCAUUAUCUAUGGCCUCAACCUGCCUGCUUCCUCCUCAAACCCUCUGACAAUUCCAAUUCCAAUCUGCAGGACAACUUGGCCCUCCAGGCAAACCAAAGAAACACAAACCAGAGGCAGGACUGAAGUUACCCGGCAAGACUUGGCUACAAGGCUCAACUUUUCAUGGGUUCACACCCCCAGCGACAUCAUUGAGAAGUUUUAAGCAAGCCCCACACCUCAAAUCCAUUCCAGCAGAAUUUCUGGGGGUGGGACCCAUGCAGCCUUAAUUUUCAAAUCCCAUUGGGUGACUCCAAAGUGCAGUGAGGCUUGAGAACCAGUGACCUGUGAUUAACGGCUUUCAAACUCUUUGGACAUCUGCCCACAGUAAUAAACUCAGUUCCCAUCAGGACCCAGGCCCCCUUCCCACAUACAUACAAAACAGAAACAAACAUUUUUCAAAACAAUACCUGACUCUUACAUCCUGCUAUUUUCCAUUCACUCGAUUGAAAUCAAUGCCCAACUUCACCCAUUAAUGAGUCU